rnacentral:rRNA from 1 species
GCUCAGGAUGAACGCUAGCGGCAGGCUUAACACAUGCAAGUCGAGGGGUAGGUUACUUCGGUAACUGAGACCGGCGCACGGGUGCGUAACGCGUAUACAAUCUACCUUUUACAGAGGGAUAGCCCAGAGAAAUUUGGAUUAAUACCUCCAUAGUAUUUUUGAAUGGCAUCAUUUUGAUUAUUAAAGUUCCAACGGUAAAAGAUGAGUAUGCGUCCCAUUAGCUAGAUGGUAAGGUAACGGCUUACCAUGGCUACGAUGGGUAGGGGUCCUGAGAGGGAGAUCCCCCACACUGGUACUGAGACACGGACCAGACUCCUACGGGAGGCAGCAGUGAGGAAUAUUGGACAAUGGGCGCAAGCCUGAUCCAGCCAUGCCGCGUGCAGGAAGAAGGUCCUAUGGAUUGUAAACUGCUUUUAUACAGGAAGAAACACCUCUACGUGUAGAGACUUGACGGUACUGUAUGAAUAAGGACCGGCUAACUCCGUGCCAGCAGCCGCGGUAAUACGGAGGGUCCAAGCGUUAUCCGGAAUCAUUGGGUUUAAAGGGUCCGUAGGCGGCCAAAUAAGUCAGUGGUGAAAGCCCAUCGCUCAACGAUGGAACGGCCAUUGAUACUGUUUGGCUUGAAUUAUUAGGAAGUAACUAGAAUAUGUAGUGUAGCGGUGAAAUGCUUAGAGAUUACAUGGAAUACCAAUUGCGAAGGCAGGUUACUACUAAUAUAUUGACGCUGAUGGACGAAAGCGUGGGGAGCGAACAGGAUUAGAUACCCUGGUAGUCCACGCCGUAAACGAUGGAUACUAGCUGUUCGGAGCAAUCUGAGUGGCUAAGCGAAAGUGAUAAGUAUCCCACCUGGGGAGUACGUUCGCAAGAAUGAAACUCA